AGGAUGAACGCUAGCGGCAGGCUUAAUACAUGCAAGUCGUGGGGCAGCAUGAGUAGCAAUACUUGAUGGCGACCGGCAAACGGGUGCGGAACACGUACACAACCUUCCGAUAAGUGGGGAAUAGCCCAGAGAAUUUGGAUUAAUACCCCGUAACAUAUAGAGUAGGCAUCUUCUUUAUAUUAUAGCUUCGGCGCUUAUUGUUGGGUGUGCGUCUGAUUAGGUAGUUGGCGGGGUAACGGCCCACCAAGCCUACGAUCAGUAGCUGAUGUGAGAGCAUAAUCAGCCACACGGGCACUGAGACCACGGGCCCGACUCCGUACGGGAGCAGCAGUAAGGAAUAGUUGGACAAGUGGGGACGAAAGCCUGAUCCAGCCAUCGGCCGCGUAGGAAGGUAGUUAACGGUCCUGUGGUAUUUAGUUAAACUUUUGUUUUAGUUACGGGAAACGGUAAAAAAGGUAUUUCCGUUU
rnacentral:rRNA from 1 species